UCUUAGUGGCGGACGGGUGAGUAACGCGUGGAUAACCUGGCCCAUACAGGGGGAUAGCAGCUGGAAACGGCUGGUAAUACCGCAUAAGCGCACGGUACGGCAUCGUACAGUGUGAAAAACUCCGGUGGUAUGGGAUGGGUCCGCGUCUGAUUAGGCAGUUGGCGGGGUAAAGGCCCACCAAACCGACGAUCAGUAGCCGGCCUGAGAGGGUGGGCGGCCACAUUGGGACUGAGACACGGCCCAAACUCCUACGGAAGGCAGCAG
rnacentral:rRNA from 1 species